UCGAGAAUCAUUCACAAUGGGGGAAACCCUGAUGGUGCGACGCCGCGUGGGGGAAUGAAGGUCUUCGGAUUGUAAACCCCUGUCAUGUGGGAGCAAAUUAACAAGAUAGUACCACAAGAGGAAGAGACGGCUAACUCUGUGCCAGCAGCCGCGGUAAUACAGAGGUCUCAAGCGUUGUUCGGAAUCACUGGGCGUAAAGCGUGCGUAGGCGGUUUCGUAAGUCGUGUGUGAAAGGCGGGGGCUCAACCCCCGGACUGCACAUGAUACUGCGAGACUAGAGUAAUGGAGGGGGAACCGGAAUUCUCGGUGUAGCAGUGAAAUGCGUAGAUAUCGAGAGGAACACUCGUGGCGAAGGCGGGUUCCUGGACAUUAACUGACGCUGAGGCACGAAGGCCAGGGGAGCGAAAGGG
rnacentral:rRNA from 1 species